rnacentral:tRNA from 1 species
AAAAAGGUAAGCUAAAUGAAGCUACUGGGCUCAUACCUCACUUAUAAAGACUAACCUUUCCUUUUUA